AUGUGGACGGUCAUAAGACUAACCCCCCCACUGAAGGUGCGUCCUCGUACCUUUAACAGGAGAGACGAGGAAACAAGAUGGGAAGGAGAGGCCAGGGAGGAGUCACAGGAGGAUGGAGCCAGGAAGGGAGCUGGAGCAGGAGGCGUAGGACCCAGGACACAGCCAGGGGGAUGGCCCAAGGUGGAGUCGACGAAGGGAGGAGCCAUGGAGGAGGAGUGGUCGCUGACUCCAGGGGGUCGACCAAGCCGUUUCACUAAGUGGUUUGCUCUGCCUGUUCCUGUCCUCAUCCUCAACUCUUCUCAAUGUUCUUCAUCCUCAUCUUCAUCAGUGCAGUAUUGUUCAGUGCUGUGUUCAGUGGUGAAUGUGAGCGCUGUGAGUCUCUCCUGGUACAAAGGAAACAGUUUAUUGUCCAGCAUCAGUGUGUCUGAUCUCAGCAUCAGUCUCUCUCUACCUCUGGAGGUGGAAUAUCAGGAGAAAAACACCUACAGCUGUGUGAUCAACAACACCAUCAGCAACCAGACUCAACAUCUGGACAUCAGUCAACUCUGUCCCACAUGUUCAGGCUCUGUUCACUGCUGUGGUCCUACUGAAGCUGUGAUCCGAUUGGUCCUCUCUGUUCUGGUGGGCGUGGCUACUGUCAUUAUUGUGCUUUAUGACAUCAGAUCCAGAAGAGCUGAACCAGAUCAAGCACAUAUUCACGCAUCACAAACCUGAAUGAUGAUGUCAGAGAACUGCUUUCAGUCAUUUCAGCUUCAUUUAUUUUGAAGAUUUUAGAUGAACCUGAUGGUUCUGAUGCAGCUCAUGUGAGGGUUUGACAUAAAUACAGCAGCAGACUUCAAAUACAAAGCUUUGCUUUUAUUUAGUUCAGUACAACAGGCUUUACUAAUGAACAUUUUAUAUAUGAUUUAAUUUUUCAUGUUUGUUUUGUAGUGUUACUAUUUUACAGAUUCAGUUUGAUUUAUUGUUUAUAUUUCUCUAAAAUAAGACACAGAUCUUACUUCACUGUGCAUUUGUCAGAUGUAUUUGCUUGUCUUCAUCAAUAAAGUUUUCUCUGUCUAAAUGUAAA